CUAGCUGCAGCCGGAGCCUGGGAGACGAUGCAUCACUGUAAGCGAUACCGCUCCCCUGAACCAGACCCGUACCUGAGCUACCGAUGGAAGAGGAGGAGGUCCUACAGUCGGGAACAUGAAGGGAGACUGCGAUACCCGUCCCGAAGGGAGCCUCCCCCACGAAGAUCUCGGUCCAGAAGCCAUGACCGCCUGCCCUACCAGAGGAGGUACCGGGAGCGCCGUGACAGCGAUACAUACCGGUGUGAAGAGCGGAGCCCAUCCUUUGGAGAGGACUACUAUGGAUCUUCACGUUCUCGUCAUCGUCGGCGAUCGCGGGAGAGGGGGCCAUACCGGACCCGCAAGCAUGCCCACCACUGCCACAAACGCCGCACCAGGUCUUGUAGCAGCGCCUCCUCGAGAAGCCAACAGAGCAGUAAGCGCAGCAGCCGGAGUGUGGAAGAUGACAAGGAGGGUCACCUGGUGUGCCGGAUCGGCGAUUGGCUCCAAGAGCGAUGUACAGCCACCUUUCGUAAAACUUUACCUCUCUACUUUCUACCCCCCUUGUUAGACGAGACCUCUCCUGCCUGGAGGGGCCUCUAGUGCGCGUGGUGCCUUAGCGGGGCCACCAGUAAUUGCCUGAAUGACACAGACACUAGCAACUUCCAUUUUUAAGAGUGUAGCAGUGAGAGAGAAACCUUUUUUGUUUUUGAGAAUUUGAAUGCUGUGAACUUGCAGGAGCUGCCAACCCCCUGCCCUCCAGAUUCUCACGCCCAAUUUCUUUUCUCUCCUAGAUGAGAUUGUGGGGAACCUGGGUGAAGGCACCUUUGGCAAGGUGGUGGAGUGCUUGGACCAUGCCAGAGGGAAGUCUCAGGUUGCUCUGAAGAUCAUCCGCAACGUGGGCAAGUACCGGGAGGCUGCCCGGCUAGAAAUCAACGUGCUCAAAAAAAUCAAGGAGAAGGACAAAGAAAACAAGUUCCUGUGUGUCUUGAUGUCUGACUGGUUCAACUUCCACGGUCACAUGUGCAUCGCCUUUGAGCUCCUGGGCAAGAACACCUUUGAGUUCCUGAA
rnacentral:sRNA from 1 species